rnacentral:rRNA from 1 species
UACGUAGGGUGCAAGCGUUAAUCGGAAUUACUGGGCGUAAAGCGUGCGCAGGCGGUUGUGCAAGACCGAUGUGAAAUCCCCGGGCUUAACCUGGGAAUGGCAUUGGUGACUGCACGGCUAGAGUGUGUCAGAGGGGGGUAGAAUUCCACGUGUAGCAGUGAAACGCGUAGAGAUGUGGAGGAAUACCGAUGGCGAAGGCAGCCCCCUGGGAUAACACUGACGCUCAUGCACGAAAGCGUGGGGAGCAAACAGG